GAUGAACGCUGGCGGCGUGCCUAAUACAUGCAAGUCGAGCGAACAGAUGAGGAGCUUGCUCCUCUGACGUUAGCGGCGGACGGGUGAGUAACACGUGGAUAACCUACCUAUAAGACUGGGAUAACUUCGGGAAACCGGAGCUAAUACCGGAUAAUAUAUUGAACCGCAUGGUUCAAUAGUGAAAGACGGUUUUGCUGUCACUUAUAGAUGGAUCCGCGCCGCAUUAGCUAGUUGGUAAGGUAACGGCUUACCAAGGCAACGAUGCGUAGCCGACCUGAGAGGGGUAACGGCCACACUUGAACUUAGACACGGUCCAAACUCCUACGGGAGGCAGCAGUAGGGAAUCUUCCGCAAUGGGCGAAAGCCUGACGGAGCAACGCCGCGUGAGUUAUGAAGGUCUUCGGAUCGUAAAACUCUGUUAUUAGGGAAGAACAAAUGUUUAAGUAACUAUGCACGUCUUGACGGUACCUAAUCAGAAAGCCACGGCUAACUACGUG
rnacentral:rRNA from 1 species